rnacentral:lncRNA from 1 species
CGGGCGCCUCGUGGGAGACUAGCGCUUGUAACGUGGCGAAGGAAGGCGCUGCCUCGCGUUGGAGGAGCUUGCUCUGAGCUGCUGCCACCUGCUGGGCUGGAGCUGGAGCUGGAGCUGCGAAUUCGGAGUCCCGGUUCCCUGUGCCACCUGGCGAGCUCAGCAAACUAAAAGGCUCUUUGUCUUCAUCGUUUCCGGCACUGAUGUGAGCACAUCAUAAGCACAAGACCUGGACACCUUUACAAUCAGAGGUAGCAUCUGUCUGGAACUGUAUCUUGACUCUCACUGGUGCUUUUCCUUUGGUUGAUGCAAAGCUUUUGAAUCCUUUAGGGAGAUGUCAUUGGCCUAGGACUGGAGCUCUGGAUCUGACCGGAGCAAAGAGGAAGCACGCAAAUCCGGACAUGACGACGAGGAGGCAGUAGAGACCCAUCCUCAACUGUAAGUAACUGCCUUCGGCAGGGAAGGGGCUAACCCACGUUGUGUGGGCUCAGGCACGGCCGCGUCUGGUUCUGUGCAGGAACACAGGCAGAGGCAAGCCCUGGGUCCGCAUCAUGGCUCUGCCCUCACUCAGAUUGCCUUGUACAUGUAGGUUCUUGUCCUAGAGCCUCUUUCCCUACUUCUAAAUGAGUGGAAAGCCACCCACAAGCCCGUGAGUGAGGAUGCCCUUGGUAAACCCAGGUGAUCACACCCUGGGCAGGCCCUGCCCCACAGGGCCCCAUCCCGCUGCUCCCCAGCCUGUCCUCACCAACUGCCCAGGCAGGAGCAAAGCCCACGGGGAGGACCUGUGACCACAGGCAAGGACCACGGACCCCAGCCCCAGGGAUUUUGACCUCAAGAAAGGAAACAUCCACAAUUUACCCUCCAUCUGGUGAUCCAGCUGCAUCUGGGGUGGGUUUGGUCUCUGCUGGGACCAUGAGGUUCAGACCACCAAGAAAUAGCACUAGCACAGGUGAAAAUCAUGGGCAAACUUUAUUGGCAUAAAUCACAGGAAUUGAAAUGGGAAAAGCCAGCUUGGAAGUUUACACCCCCUGAGUGCCGAUCCCACCUGUGAAAGGGGAGGAGCAGAUCUGGGGAAGGGAUAUGCCCAGAGGAAAUCAACAAGACCAAAGAGACGUCAGAGUCCUGAUGGCCAAAAUCAGACACCAGCUUUCCUGAGAAGGCAGAAGAGAGAGCCCCAUAGAAGCAGUGGGGGCUCAGAAGGUUCAGUGGGUUCACAGGGGAGCAGAGGCUCCUGAGGGCUUACUCAGACAGGAAGCAGCCCCCCAAAACAUACUUCCCCUUCUCCUCCCACAGAAACAGAACAGAUAAAGUUCAGAAUUCUAGGCCCAAAAGGGUGCAACACCCUUCAACCAGUUUCAGUGAAGAGCUUGCUGGCCUGGGAAGUAAAGAAGGGGUUUCCAAAUACAGCAGUUUAUAAAACAGUCCUGGUGAGCUAUGAAGUGAAAGAGGGGGAGUCACAGAGCUGCUCCCAGUUCACCUGCUUGUGCUAAGAAACAAUAAAAUACAAAUUGCUUCCCCACCCCAACCCUCAGUACAAAGCAAACUUCACACCAGAGCCACCAUCAGUGACAGGCCCAGUGGCGGUGGAUGAGGAAGAGAAUACAAAAUGCCCUUGUUGAGCUGCUUGAGGCAGAAGGCACAGACGAAGUGCUCGGGGUGGAACUUCUUGGCCAUGGCGGUGAUGCAGCGGCCGGUGAUGGGCUUCUGGCAGCCAGAACACAGCGAGCCGCGCCGCUCGUGGUAGUGCACCUCACAGUAGGGCUGCCCGUCGUGCUCGAAGAAGCUGCCGUUCACGAAUGGCGUGAAGCAUUCCUGCCAGGCGGAGAGAGGGGCUCAGGGAGCUGCCCCUCGGGCUAGAGCUGCACCCUGUGUGAUGGGGCCGAGGUGGGCAUAGUCGGCACGCUCGGAGUGACUCCUACUUGCUAGGCGUUUCCCAUGUGCCGUGUUGUCCUAAACGCUCAUUUUUCAUUUUUAUUUUAUUAAAUAAAUUUUUUUUGUAGAGAUGGGGGUCUCACUAUAUUGCCCAUGCUGGUCAAAUGUGGCCUCCUGCAAUCCUCCCACCUCGGCCUCCCACAGGGCUGGGAUUAUUUAGUUCUCCCAACAGGGGAGGCAACUGAAGCACACAGGUGAAGUAACUUGCCCAGGGUCAUGCAGCUACUGAGGUCACAGCCUGGAUUCAUACACAGGUCUGACUCCUGAGCACUUAGCCAGGUGGCUGUAACAGUGUUCCCAGAAACACAGGUGUGACACUGGUCUGUAGUCAAACUCUGCCUCCUAGAUUCUCAUUGGAGAUUCACAUCACAUAUAGGUAGAAAAGGCUCUGAGAGGGGCCGGGUGAGGUGGCUCACACUUGUAAUCCCAGCACUUUGGG